AUUGAACGCUGGCGGCAUGCUUUACACAUGCAAGUCGAACGGCAGCGCGGGGCAACCUGGCGGCGAGUGGCGAACGGGUGAGUAAUAUAUCGGAACGUACCCAAGAGUGGGGGGUAACGUAGCGAAAGUUACGCUAAUACCGCAUACGAUCUAAGGAUGAAAGUGGGGGAUCGCAAGACCUCAUGCUCCUGGAGCGGCCGAUAUCUGAUUAGCUAGUUGGUGAGGUAAAGGCUCACCAAGGCUACGAUCAGUAGCUGGUCUGAGAGGACGACCAGCCACACUAGAACUGAGACACGGUCCAGACUCCUACGGGAGGCAGCAGUGGGGAAUUUUGGACAAUGGGCGCAAGCCUGAUCCAGCAAUGCCGCGUGAGUGAAGAAGGCCUUCGGGUUGUAUAGCUCUUUUGUCAGGGAAGAAACGGUCUCAGCUAAUAUCUGGGGCUAAUGACGGUACCUGAAGAAUAAGCACCGGCUAACUACGUGCCAGCCGCCGCCGUAA
rnacentral:rRNA from 1 species